GGGCACAUGGUGUAGUUGGUUAUCACGCUCGCUUAGCAUUGGCGGAAGUUUCAAUAAUGCGAGAGGUGUUGGGUUCAAUUCCCAAUGUGUCCA